UACGGAGGGAGCUAGCGUUGUUCGGAAUUACUGGGCGUAAAGCGCACGUAGGCGGCUUUGUAAGUUAGAGGUGAAAGCCCGGGGCUCAACUCCGGAAUUGCCUUUAAGACUGCAUCGCUUGAAUCCGGGAGAGGUGAGUGGAAUUCCGAGUGUAGAGGUGAAAUUCGUAGAUAUUCGGAAGAACACCAGUGGCGAAGGCGGCUCACUGGCUCGUAACUGACGCUCAUGCACGACAGCGUGGGGAUCAAACAGG
rnacentral:rRNA from 1 species